GGGAGACAGGAUGGAUUUGGACCGUGGGAGGCAAUCUCUGGGACUUCUGUUCCUAAGUGAGUAUUUGGAGGUGUGUGUGUGUGUGUGUGUGUGUGUGUGUGUGUGUGCUCAUGUGUGUGCAUGCACGAAGAUGUGUGUCAGGUCAAAUGGCAAUCUUAGGUGUCAUUCUUAAGGCACAACCUACCUUUUAUUUAUUUAUUUUUAUUUAUUUGUUUGUUUGUUUGUUUGUUGUUUGAGGCAAGAUCUCUUAGGAGGCCCCAGGAUUCUCCCUGUCUCAGACUUUUUGCUUUUCUUCUGUGGGUUUUUGGGUUGGAGAGCUUUCAAAGCAGGCCCUUUACUGACUGAGCCAUGCCCCAGGCCCAGCCUUUACCUGGAAAUUUUCUGCAAAGCAAUCUGAGAAGCGAAGAGAAGAUAUAUUUUUUUUUUUGAACAAAGAAAUAGCAUAGCAUCAAUGAUGCCGUCAGCAGGCCAGUCGUUGCUGCUACUAAAUUAAUUACUAAAUUGAGAAAUUAAUGCAAACGCAACUGAGGGACAAGCUCACAGGCAGCAGUGAACUGGCGUCGAUCCAGGAUCCCAUCCAGGGAAUGGCGCCAACUCAACAAACUGAUUUCCAAGAUAAUUCCGACUAGGCAUGCCCAGAGACCCUUCUCCAUGUGAAUCUAGAUUCUGUCAGGUAGAUAGUUAACAGUACCCAUCACCGUGGAUAUACAAAGAAGCACGGACAUUAACGUCCGUCCUAAUGAUUGCUAUCAUGACGGGGCGUUGACGUAUGUGAAGUUGGCUAUACUCAAUUUGCAUUUCUAUCUUUCCUACGGAAUAGAGAGACUUCAUCAGGCUUCCUCUUAGUUGCUAAAGACGGUAAGUGUUAGUUGACGAGUAGGAGAGAUGCCAGGAGAUGAAUCAGCAUUGGGAGAAUUAUAGUUUUUCUCUUUCACAGAUGAGGAGUGGCCUGUAAGACCUCUGAUCCCGGUAAGGAUAUGAACUUCUCAGAUUGUGUUAGUGACAGCCACAUGGCCGGCCUGAGCCCCCACCAGCUUAACUGGGCUCAGAGCAUGUUCACCCAAAGGUGGUUGAAACCAAUGCAGGAAUUUUGAGGCCUCUAAGAAAGUUACUGUUGAGGUGACCCAGCCUUUUGAUUGGCAUCAUUAGGAGACAGGACUCCUUGAGAAAUGAACGCAAUGACAUCCCUGGGCUGCGUGAAUUCUUCCUAUGAUAUGCACUUGCUUUCGAGUGACUUUGGCCUUUUAGCAUAAACCACUCCUUGCUUUCCUCCCAGGUUUGCGCUCUGAGCAUUCUUUGGAAGCAUCAGCCAGAAGCAAUCUUGGUGUAAGCAGUGUGCUGCACUGCGGCUCACAGGGUGGAUUUGAGCAGGGUUGGCUCAGAUGUCAUAAUGACACAAGGCCAAUAAAGUGGCAUGAGUGGGCUGAUGAUCCUGAGCAGAGUGCUUCCCUCUCUUGUGUUCUCAUUCAAAGGAUUUGCAGUUAAGCUAUGUCCUGGGACCCUGAGCAUUACAUAGCCAUCUUCCUGAACCUGCAGAUGACUCUCCACGGCCUAGGAGAGCUCCCUUGAGCCCUUUCUAGCCUCUCUAUCCACAGAGUGAAUGUGGACAGAAACGGAGAGGUCCCAUCCUCAGUGUGACCUUGACAUGACCUUCUGGUGAGUUCACCAAGUAGAGUGCUUGACUUACUGCAGCCCACAGUCCAUUGUCCCACGGAAGACCUGCUGGAGAGCCCACUACAAGACACCGGAGUGGUUCCCCUCAGCUUUCUUUGAGAGACUUCUCAAAAGGUGUAGCAGAAUGUAGCUGGUUUGAUCUCCUGCUCAGGGAUCGAGCUGCCUACAGAGCUGCAGCGCACAGAGGAAAUGGUGCAGG
rnacentral:lncRNA from 1 species